rnacentral:rRNA from 1 species
CCUACGGGUGGCAGCAGUAGGGAAUUUUCGUCAAUGGGCGCAAGCCUGAACGAGCGAUGCCGCGUGAGUGAAGAAGGCCUUCGGGUCGUAAAGCUCUGUUUCGGGGGAAAAAAGGCAGCAUCCGUAAAUGGGUGCUGACUGAUGGUGCCCCGCCAGAAAGUCACGGCUACCUACGUGCCAGCAGCCGGGGUAAUACGGAGGUGGCGAGCGUUAUCCGGAAUGAUUGGGCGUAAAGGGUGCGCAGGCGGUCCUGCAAGUCUGGAGUGAAACGCAUGAGCUCAACUCAUGCAUGGCUUUGGAAACUGGAGGACUGGAGAGCAGGAGAGGGCGGUGGAAUGCAAGGUGUAGCGGUAAAAUGCGUAGAUAUAAGGAAGAACACCAGUGGCGAAGGCGGCCGCCUGGGCUGUUGCUGACGCUGAGGCACGAAAGCGUGGGGAGCAAAUAGGAUUAGAUACCCUAGUAGUC